AAUAACCUUAAUUUUCGUUUUUUCCGUAUCCAACAUUUGACCAUUCGUCUUAUUUGAAUUUUUUUGCGAUUAAUAUUUUUAUUGUUACUAGAUGAUAAAAUAUGAAUAGUACUUUAUACAUGAGUAAUUUUUUAAAGUUUUUUUUACAAAUUUUUCAAAUAAGACGAAUGAUCAAACGUUGGACACGGAAAAAC
rfam:Oryza brachyantha chromosome 6, whole genome shotgun sequence.